CAAGGAUUCCCCUAGUAACGGCGAAUGAAGCGGGAUGAGCUCAAAUUUGUAAUCUGGCGGUCUCGGGCCGUCCGAGUUGUAGUCUGGAGAAGCGUCUUCCGUGCCGGACCGUGUACAAGUCCCUUGGAACAGGGCGUCGUAGAGGGUGAGAAUCCCGUCUCUGACACGGACUACCGGUGCUCUGUGAUGCGCUCUCGAAGAGUCGAGUUGUUUGGGAAUGCAGCUCAAAAUGGGUGGUAAAUUCCAUCUAAAGCUAAAUAUUGGCGAAAGACCGAUAGCGAACAAGUACCGUGAGGGAAAGAUGAAAAGCACUUUGGAAAGAGAGUUAAACAGUACGUGAAAUUGUUGAAAGGGAAACGCUUGAAGUCAGUCGCGUCUUCCGAGACUCAGCCGGGUUCUUACCCGGUGCACUUCUCGGUGUGACGGGCCAGCAUCGAUUUUGACCGUCGGAGAAAGGUCGAGGGAAUGUGGCACCUUCGGGUGUGUUAUAGCCCUCGGUCGUAUGCGACGGUGGGGAUCGAGGACCGCAGCGUGCCGCAAGGCCGGGUUCGCCCACGUAACGCGCUUAGAUGCUGCGUAAUGGCUUUAA
rnacentral:rRNA from 1 species